rnacentral:rRNA from 1 species
GAGUGGCGAACUGGUGAGUAACACGUGGGAAACCUGCCCAGAAGCGGGGGAUAACACCUGGAAACAGAUGCUAAUACCGCAUAACAACUUGGACCGCAUGGUCCGAGCUUGAAAGAUGGCUUCGGCUAUCACUUUUGGAUGGUCCCGCGGCGUAUUAGCUAGAUGGUGGGGUAACGGCUCACCAUGGCAAUGAUACGUAGCCGACCUGAGAGGGUAAUCGGCCACAUUGGGACUGAGACACGGCCCAAACUCCUACGGGAGGCAGCAGUAGGGAAUCUUCCACAAUGGACGAAAGUCUGAUGGAGCAACGCCGCGUGAGUGAAGAAGGGUUUCGGCUCGUAAAACUCUGUUGUUAAAGAAGAACAUAUCUGAGAGUAACUGUUCAGGUAUUGACGGUAUUUAACCAGAAAGCCACGGCUAACUACGUGCCAGCAGCCGCGGUAAUACGUAGGUGGCAAGCGUUGUCCGGAUUUAUUGGGCGUAAAGCGAGCGCAGGCGGUUUUUUAAGUCUGAUGUGAAAGCCUUCGGCUCAACCGAAGAAGUGCAUCGGAAACUGGGAAACUUGAGUGCAGAAGAGGACAGUGGAACUCCAUGUGUAGCGGUGAAAUGCGUAGAUAUAUGGAAGAACACCAGUGGCGAAGGCGGCUGUCUGGUCUGUAACUGACGCUGAGGCUCGAAAGUAUGGGUAGCAAACAGGAUUAGAUACCCUGGUAGUCCAUACCGUAAACGAUGAAUGCUAAGUGUUGGAGGGUUUCCGCCCUUCAGUGCUGCAGCUAACGCAUUAAGCAUUCCGCCUGGGGAGUACGGCCGCAAGGCUGAAACUCAAAGGAAUUGACGGGGGCCCGCACAAGCGGUGGAGCAUGUGGUUUAAUUCGAAGCUACGCGAAGAACCUUACCAGGUCUUGACAUACUAUGCAAAUCUAAGAGAUUAGACGUUCCCUUCGGGGACAUGGAUACAGGUGGUGCAUGGUUGUCGUCAGCUCGUGUCGUGAGAUGUUGGGUUAAGUCCCGCAACGAGCGCAACCCUUAUUAUCAGUUGCCAGCAUUAAGUUGGGCACUCUGGUGAGACUGCCGGUGACAAACCGGAGGAAGGUGGGGAUGACGUCAAAUCAUCAUGCCCCUUAUGACCUGGGCUACACACGUGCUACAAUGGAUGGUACAACGAGUUGCGAACUCGCGAGAGUAAGCUAAUCUCUUAAAGCCAUUCUCAGUUCGGAUUGUAGGCUGCAACUCGCCUACAUGAAGUCGGAAUCGCUAGUAAUCGCGGAUCAGCAUGCCGCGGUGAAUACGUUCCCGGGCCUUGUACACACCGCCCGUCACACCAUGAGAGUUUGUAACACCCAAAGU